rnacentral:rRNA from 1 species
UACAGAGGGGGCAAGCGUUGUUCGGAAUUACUGGGCGUAAAGGGCGCGUAGGCGGCCCGCUAAGUCGAACGUGAAAUCCCCGGGCUCAACCCGGGAACUGCGUCCGAUACUGGUGGGCUCGAAUCCGGGAGAGGGAUGCGGAAUUCCAGGUGUAGCGGUGAAAUGCGUAGAUAUCAGGAGGAAUACCUAUGGCGAAAGCAGGUAUCUGGGCCAUCACUGACGCUGAGGAGCGAAAGUGUGGGGAGCGAACAGG